UACAGAGGGUGCAAGCGUUAAUCGGAAUUACUGGGCGUAAAGGGUGAGUAGGUGGUAACUUAAGUUAUGUGUGAAAUUUCCGAGCUUAACUUGGAAAGUGCGCAUAAUACUGAGGUACUAGAGUACUGUAGAGGGUUCUGGAAUUUCCAGUGUAGCGGUGAAAUGCGUAGAUAUUGGAAGGAACACCAGUGGCGAAGGCGAGGACCUGGACAGAUACUGACACUAAUACACGAAAGCGUGGGGAGCAAACAGG
rnacentral:rRNA from 1 species